CAUGAUUUGUCCCGUACAGGAUUGAAUGUCCCUUUGAUAGUGAGAUUCUUUGGUACCUUCCUCUUUAUUGGUCUGGUCAUCUCUGUCCUGUGGUUACUGAAGAAGCCUUCAACUCGGCAACAGAAUCCAAUAUGCAAGGCGUCAGACAAGAAGGUGGAAGAGUAGAUCCACUGCGUAGAGAUCGACUUUGCCAAGCGAGGUGCUGUGCAGAACCCAGGUCUGCAGUGUAAAAAAGAACCGUAAAAAAAACGGAAGAUGUCUGACAGCAAAGUCUUCAGACGGAUAGUGUCAAAUUACAGUGAAUAAAAAGAGUAACAAAUGUAAUAAACUGUAAAAUACAGAGCAGAUUUAACAGUCAAAUUUAAAUAAAUAACAGUAUAUUCAUGUUGAUAAAUGGUCCAUAUUCAAACUGAUAUGAUACAUGUAAAAACGUGUAUGAUGUAAAAAUGUAUUAUUCGUUACUUCAUGAAACUGCCCAGUCUACCUAUAGUAAUCUUCUAUUUUUUUUUUCAUGUAAAAUAAUUAAUAAAUCAUGAAUUAAAACGCAAUAAAAACGUCCGAAAAGUUUUCACAGCCAUGAUAUUGAUUUUUACAAUUUUUUUUUUUUU